rnacentral:rRNA from 1 species
GAUGAACGCUGGCGGCGUGCCUAAUACAUGCGAGUCGAGCGAACAGACGAGGAGCUUGCUCCUCUGACGUUAGCGGCGGACGGGUGAGUAACACGUGGAUAACCUACCUAUAAGACUGGGAUAACUUCGGGAAACCGGAGCUAAUACCGGAUAAUAUAUUGAACCGCAUGGUUCAAUAGUGAAAGACGGUUUUGCUGUCACUUAUAGAUGGAUCCGCGCCGCAUUAGCUAGUUGGUAAGGUAACGGCUUACCAAGGCAACGAUGCGUAGCCGACCUGAGAGGGUGAUCGGCCACACUGGAACUGAGACACGGUCCAGACUCCUACGGGAGGCAGCAGUAGGGAAUCUUCCGCAAUGGGCGAAAGCUUGACGGAGCAACGCCGCGUGAGUGAUGAAGGUCUUCGGAUCGUAAAACUCUGUUAUUAGGGAAGAACAAAUGUGUAAGUAACUAUGCACGUCUUGACGGUACCUAAUCAGAAAGCCACGGCUAACUAUGUG